UAGUCCACGCCGUAAACGAUGGAUACUCGAUGUGGGAAGGAUUCGACCCCUUUCUGUGUCCAAGCUAACGCGUUAAGUAUCCCGCCUGGGGAGUACGGUCGCAAGAUUAAAACUCAAAGGAAUAGACGGGGGACCCACACAAGCGGUGGAGCAUGUGGUUUAAUUCGACAAUAAACGGGGAACCUUACCAGGGCUUGACAUCUCCGGAACCCACUAGAAAUAGAGGGGUGCCGUAAGGAACCGGAUGACAGGUGCUGCAUGGUCGUCGUCAGCUCGUGCCUUGAGGUGUUCGGUUAAGUCCGUAAACGAGCGCAACCCAUGUCCUAUGUUGCAAUUUCUCAUAGGAGACUGCCGGCUCCAAGUCGGAGGAAGGUAUGGAUGACGUCAGAUCAGCACGGCCCUUAUGCCCUGGGCCACACACGUGCUACAAUGACUGGUACAAUGGGUAGCGAACCGGUAACGGGGAGCCAAUCUCACCAAAGCCAGUCUAAGUUCGGAUUGAGGGCUGCAAUUCG
rnacentral:rRNA from 1 species